rnacentral:ncRNA from 1 species
CUUUAUGUAUAUGAGGAAUGAUAUUAUAUAAUAAGUUAAUACACAGUUAUACAAACUUUUCGGGGAUUAGAAAAGUGUGUAAUAGUAUUUUAAAUGUAAGCAAAUAUGUUUAAUUUUGGCUUAAAUUUUUGAGUUUUUAUUAAAUUUGCAUGAAAAUUAUAGUGUGCUUAGAUGUUUGGUUUUAUACUGAAUAUUAUUAUUAUAUGAAAUAUAAAUGAUAAAAUAUAUAACCUCAGCAUAAAUUAUUAAUAAUUUGUUUAUACAAAAGUAUGAAUUAGUAAUAAUAUAAAAAUCUGAUGAAUAUUUGUGCCAGCAUUCGCGGUUAUACUUUAAGGUUAAAUAAAAAGAAUUAGCAUUUAGUUAGACAGAGAUUUUUUGUGAAUUAUAAAUAAUAAAAGGUAGAAUUUAAUUGUUAUUAUAUAAUAUGAAUUAAUAAUUAAGAUUGAAGCUAAAAAAUCUAAUUAUAAACUAGGAUUAGAUACCCUAUUAUUUUAGGAAAAAAUAAAAAGCUAAAUUAGUAUUAGUUAUAUACUUUAAAAUUAAAAAAUUUGGCGGUGAUUUAAUCUUUUCAGAGGAAUUUGUUUUUUAAUCGAUAAUCCACGAAAAAUCUUACUUGUUUUUGUUUAAAUAUAAAUAAAUCAGUUUGUAUACCAUCAUUAUCAGAUAAUUCUAAAAAGAAAAAUUGUCAAAUAUAAUUGAUUAUAAAAAUUAGAUCAUGGUGCAGCUUAUAAACAAGUUAAAAUGAAUUACAAUAAAUUAUUUUAUAAAUGAAUUAAUAAUAUAAUUUUUAUUAUGAAGGAGGAUUUGAUAGUAUUAUAAUUUUAAUAAGUUUAUAAGACAAUGGCUCUAAAUCAUGUACAUAUCGCCCGUCGCUUUCAUCUAUAAAUGAAAUAAGUCGUAACAUAGUAGAUGUACUGGAAAGUGUAUCUAGAAUUAUU